rnacentral:rRNA from 1 species
GACGAACGCUGGCGGCGUGCUUAACACAUGCAAGUCGAACGGAAAGGCCCUGCUUUUGUGGGGUGCUCGAGUGGCGAACGGGUGAGUAACACGUGAGUAACCUGCCCUUGACUUUGGGAUAACUUCAGGAAACUGGGGCUAAUACCGGAUAGGAGCUCCUGCUGCAUGGUGGGGGUUGGAAAGUUUCGGCGGUUGGGGAUGGACUCGCGGCUUAUCAGCUUGUUGGUGGGGUAGUGGCUUACCAAGGCUUUGACGGGUAGCCGGCCUGAGAGGGUGACCGGCCACAUUGGGACUGAGAUACGGCCCAGACUCCUACGGGAGGCAACAGUGGGGAAUAUUGCACAAUGGGCGGAAGCCUGAUGCAGCAACGCCGCGUGCGGGAUGACGGCCUUCGGGUUGUAAACCGCUUUCGCCUGUGACGAAGCGUGAGUGACGGUAAUGGGUAAAGAAGCACCGGCUAACUACGUGCCAGCAGCCGCGGUGAUACGUAGGGUGCGAGCGUUGUCCGGAUUUAUUGGGCGUAAAGGGCUCGUAGGUGGUUGAUCGCGUCGGAAGUGUAAUCUUGGGGCUUAACCCUGAGCGUGCUUUCGAUACGGGUUGACUUGAGGAAGGUAGGGGAGAAUGGAAUUCCUGGUGGAGCGGUGGAAUGCGCAGAUAUCAGGAGGAACACCAGUGGCGAAGGCGGUUCUCUGGGCCUUUCCUGACGCUGAGGAGCGAAAGCGUGGGGAGCGAACAGGCUUAGAUACCCUGGUAGUCCACGCUGUAAACGGUGGGUACUAGGUGUGGGGUCCAUUCCACGGGUUCCGUGCCGUAGCUAACGCUUUAAGUACCCCGCCUGGGGAGUACGGCCGCAAGGCUAAAACUCAAAGGAAUUGACGGGGCCCCGCACAAGCGGCGGAGCAUGCGGAUUAAUUCGAUGCAACGCGUAGAACCUUACCUGGGUUUGACAUGGAUCGGGAGUGCUCAGAGAUGGGUGUGCCUCUUUUGGGGUCGGUUCACAGGUGGUGCAUGGCUGUCGUCAGCUCGUGUCGUGAGAUGUUGGGUUAAGUCCCGCAACGAGCGCAACCCUUGUUCACUGUUGCCAGCACGUUAUGGUGGGGACUCAGUGGAGACCGCCGGGGUCAACUCGGAGGAAGGUGGGGAUGACGUCAAGUCAUCAUGCCCCUUAUGUCCAGGGCUUCACGCAUGCUACAAUGGCUGGUACAGAGAGUGGCGAGCCUGUGAGGGUGAGCGAAUCUCGGAAAGCCGGUCUCAGUUCGGAUUGGGGUCUGCAACUCGACCUCAUGAAGUCGGAGUCGCUAGUAAUCGCAGAUCAGCAACGCUGCGGUGAAUACGUUCCCGGG